GAUGAAGAACGCAGCGAAAUGCGAUAAGUAGUGUGAAUUGCAGAAUUCCGUGAAUCAUCGAAUCUUUGAACGCACAUUGCGCCUUCUGGUAUUCCGGAAGGCAUGCCUGUUCGAGAGUCAUUAACAACCGUUUCGAUCCCUUUCUUUCAGAAAUUACAAAGAGGAAAAGGGUUUGGUUAUGGUGGAGGAGGGAAAGGGAGCGUUUAGCCUGUAAAAAAAGAGGCUGUGUUCCGCCUCCCCCCCAAAAUUGUACAGGCGGUCGUGUGCGCCCACGCAUCGAGGUGUUGUAAAAGCUGCCACGGCACUUUUCACCUGUGCAGUGCGAGAUUGGCCAGCCGGUUUAAAAACCCCUCCAAACAAUCAAAGGUUGACCUAGGAUCAGGUAGGGAUACCCGCUGAACUUAAGCAUAUCAAUAAGCGGAGG
rnacentral:misc_RNA from 1 species